CUGUACUGCCCAGCCCAACACACUGCUACAGUAAUGCCCAGCCCAACACACUGCUACUGUACUGCCCAGCCCAGCACACUGCUACUGCCCAGCCCAACACACUGCUACUGUACUGCCCAACACACUGCUACUGUACAGCCCAGCCCAACACACUGCUACUGUACUGCCCAACACACUGCUACUGUACUGCCCAGCCCAACACACUGCUACUGUACUGCCCAGCCCAACACACUGCUACUGUACUGCCCAACACACUGCUACUGUACUGCCCAGUCCAACACACUGCUACUGUACUGCCCAGUCCAACACACUGCUACUGUACUGCCCAGCCCAACACACUGCUACUGUACUGCCCAGCCCAACACACUGCUACUGUACUGCCCAGCCCAACACACUGCUACUGUACUGCCCAGUCCAACACACUGCUACUGUACUGCCCAGCCCAACACACUGCUACUGUACUGCCCAGCCCAACACACUGCUACUGUACUGCCCAGCCCAACACACUGCUACUGUACUGCCCAACACACUGCUACUGUACUGCCCAACACACUGCUACUGUACUGCCCAACACACUGCUACUGUACUGCCCAGCCCAACACACUGCUACUGUACUGCCCAGCCCAACACACUGCUACUGUACUGCCCAGCCCAACACACUGCUACCGUACUGCCCAACACACUGCUACUGUACUGCCCAGUCCAACACACUGCUACUGUACUGCCCAGUCCAACACACUGCUACUGUACUGCCCAGCCCAACACACUGCUACUGUACUGCCCAACACACUGCUACUGUACUGCCCAGUCCAACACACUGCUACUGUACUGCCCAGUCCAACACACUGCUACUGUACUGCCCAGCCCAACACACUGCUACUGUACUGCCCAGCCCAACACACUGCUACUGUACUGCCCAGCCCAACACACUGCUACUGUACUGCCCAGUCCAACACACUGCUACUGUACUGCCCAGCCCAACACACUGCUACUGUACUGCCCAGCCCAACACACUGCUACUGUACUGCCCAGCCCAACACACUGCUACUGUACUGCCCAGCCCAACACACUGCUACUGUACUGCCCAGUCCAACACACUGCUACUGUACAGCCCAGUCCAACACACUGCUACUGUACUGCCCAGCCCAACACACUGCUACUGUACUGCCCAGCCCAACACACUGCUACUGUACUGCCCAGCCCAGCACACUGCUACUGUACUGCCCAACACACUGCUACUGUACUGCCCAGUCCAACACACUGCUACUGUACUGCCCAGUCCAACACACUGCUACUGUACUGCCCAGUCCAACACACUGCUACUGUACUGCCCAGCCCAACACACUGCUACUGUACUGCCCAGCCCAACACACUGCUACUGUACUGCCCAGCCCAACACACUGCUACUGUACUGCCCAGCCCAACACACUGCUACUGUACUGCCCAGCCCAACACACUGCUACUGUACUGCCCAGCCCAACACACUGCUACUGUACUGCCCAGCCCAACACACUGCUACUGUACUGCCCAGCCCAACACACUGCUACUGUACUGCCCAACACACUGCUACUGUACUGCCCAGCCCAACACACUGCUACUGUACUGCCCAGCCCAACACACUGCUACUGUACUGCCCAGCCCAACACACUGCUACUGUACAGCCUAACACACUGCUACUGUACAGCCCAGCACACUGCUACUGUACUGCCCAGCCCAACACACUGCUACUGUACUGCCCAGCCCAACACACUGCUACAGUAA
rnacentral:lncRNA from 1 species